rnacentral:rRNA from 1 species
UACGUAGGGUGCGAGCGUUGUCCGGAAUUAUUGGGCGUAAAGAGCUCGUAGGCGGCUCAGUAAGUCGGGUGUGAAACCUCCAGGCUCAACCUGGAGACGCCACCUGAUACUGCUGUGGCUAGAGUCCGGUAGGGGAGCGUGGAAUUCCUGGUGUAGCGGUGAAAUGCGCAGAUAUCAGGAAGAACACCCGUGGCGAAGGCGGCUCUCUGGGACGGUACUGACGCUGAGACGCGAAAGCGUGGGGAGCGAACAGG